rnacentral:rRNA from 1 species
UGGCGACCGGCGGACGGGUGCGUAACGCGUAUGCAACCUGCCUGACACAGGGGGAUAAUCCGAAGAAAUUUGGUCUAAUACCCCAUAAUACCGAUAUAGGCAUCUAUGUUGGUUGAAAGCUUUGGUGGUGUCAGAUGGGCAUGCGUUGUAUUAGCUAGUUGGUGAGGUAACGGCUCACCAAGGCGACGAUACAUAGGGGGACUGAGAGGUUAACCCCCCACACUGGUACUGAGACACGGACCAGACUCCUACGGGAGGCAGAUG